rnacentral:lncRNA from 1 species
CCCAUUAUAGAAUAACAUCACAGAUCUCUUGAUGAGGAAAAUCGCCCAAUUAAUUUAUCAUCAUUUAUUGACCAAAACAAAAUCUCUUAACAAAACAAGAAACCGAUUUGUACAAAUAUUAUAUUAGAACAUCCAGAAAGGAUAUCUAAAAUGAUACAAUCAGGUAUUGAUUAAAACUUGCCCCAAAUUUUAACUAUUUCUACAACGGUAACAUUCACUAACAAAUUUUUCGAAUAAAAUUGGGAGAAAUAGGACGGCACCUUUGCAUUUUAUUGCUUUGCUCUCUCUUUUAACGAACAGAAGCACAGAUGGAUUGAUGAUUGUACAUCUCAGUUACCCCAUUUGUGAUCUGCUGUCGGUUUCUUCUCCGUUUUCUGACAACUAUAAAUCCUUCACCAUUCCCAUUUUUUUGGUUUGCAUCUUUGGGUUUUUUCUGUUCUUGAUCAUUGGACUGAGAUGCCAAGUUUGUUUUGCCCUUUUCAUUUCCAUAAAGGAUCUUUAUGAUAGCACUAUCAUUUGCAAUUGCAUCUGAAGAAUUUUCUGAAUACCAAUCUCCUUUUCAUAGCCUGAAGAUUGACUUGGAGCAUCCAUAUUAUGCUGGACUGACUUUACAAUGAAGCUAAGUAGUAUCUGUCUUGCCAGCUCUGACUUCUCGGCCUCUGUACUGCUCUUCCUUGAGGUAUUAUCUUCGCCUUGAAUACUGGACAUUUUGUCAAGCUUCUCAUCUUCUGCCUCACUUGUGUCAUUUGAAGAGUUCGACUCAUUUGAAACAUUUGAAUCUGCACUUCCAGGAUUUAUUUGCCAACCUCUCAUUGGCACAAACUUGGGUGCAUGCGGGUUCAUGAUUCUUGAAGGCCCCAACAGGUUUCUUUCCAUAAUGGAAGAGUGGUAUUUUGGAAAUCCAUGUUUCAUCAUGUAAGAAUAAUUAUUUCUAUAAUAGAGAGGCGACCUUGGCCCACAAGGAACUCUAGCAGCAGCCGAAGGUACAGCAGGUUCUGCAAGCAUACCUUGACUAGUUCUCGCAUCAUAAAUACUCGUGGCUGCUACAGAGUUUAGCAGAUGAGUCAUGGAGACAGAUCCUGGGUUGAAUGGUUCAGCUGUGGCAGAAAGCUUACUCCCAUUUGUUUCCAUGGGCUUUUCCUCGUUAGAAGAAGAAGGAACUUCCUUGGUAUCUGCAGCAGUAGUUUCAGAUUGAGUUACACUUCCAUGAGUUUCUUGAGACUGACCAUCAACUGGCGCAUCUUCAACUGGAGAGAAAUGGUUAUUCAACUCCGCCUUUGAUGUCUCAGGAGCAUUCCUGCACAUCUGCGUUUCAGUUUUUUCUUCAAUUUCUUCAUCAGGUUUCUCUGGUAAUGGCUUUAGAACCGUACCUGGUGGUGCCACAGAUACUUCUUUGUAAGACAGCGACUUGGAAGCCAUGGCAGUAAGGUUUGGUGGACUUGCAUAAACUUUGGAGACAGAAGCUUUUGCCUGCAGUUUAAUUGAAUCCUUUAUGCCUGUUAACUCAGUGGUGGUGGUCCUUGAAGCUUUUUCCCGUACUGGAGAAACAAUUUCCUGUCUAUUGCCUUUUUCUCUAAGAUUUGAAUGUUCACAACCAUUGACAUUUAGCUUUGUAAGAACAGGUCGCCUCCGGCUGAGCUUCCGAACAGCAGCAUUUCCUGACCUACCUUUUGGAUUGGCUUCUUGCCACCCCUCAUCUGAAUUUGUUUCUUCCACAAACUCACCUGAAAUUGCCGGUCCAUAUCUAGUAAUAUCAUCGUUCUCUUCUGGCUCUUCAGGUUCAACACGGUCUUCUAUUACCUCCUCGGUCUUGCUUUCCACUAUAGUCAUACUUUUUUUCAAUCCAUCAUUGGGCAGUGCAUCUUCCACCAUCAUAUCAUGAUGUACUCCAUGAAUCUUUUCCCUAAUCUGCAUUACCUGAAAAAAAUAAAUAAACCAAAAAAAGAAAACAAAACCUUUUUAACUUGUAUGCAUAUAAAAUGUCAAAAAUUGAGCCAAUAGAAAUAUUUCAUUUUAAGUUACAAUCAUCUUGUAAUUUUACAGUAGCAAAAUUUAUUACAACAAAUCCAGACAUAACAUGAGGCAGAAUUCAGUGGAACAUAAAUGGGAAUUUGAUAUGUACAUGCCUGAAAUGUUGAAAAAAACACUCAGUGAGAAAUUAUGCUAAUAUAUAUUAUGUUAAACUAAUGAAAUUCUUCAGCCUUUUGAAUCAUGGAAUUCUCAAAAAAAAUAAUCACAGCGAAAUACUUUACUAUUGUCUUAAAUUGUCAACCAGGUAAUACUUCAAAUUAGCACAUAAUAAUCCUGUCUUUCUAAUAUGUAGUAUUAUUUGGUUCUCUAAGGCCUACAAAAUGGGGAAAAAAAAAAGGGAAAAACUCCAACUGCCAAAUCGAAAAAUGUUUUUCUAGAAUCAAUAAUAACAACCAUUAAAUAACAGUAGAAUGGAAGAACUCCAUCUCCUAGCCAAAAUGAUAGAUCUGUCAUAUCCAUCCAUUGCACUUCAAAUUAAUGGUUUCUUCUCACUCUGUUCAAGGUUACGGGGUAAAACAAAAACUAUCACUCGUUCUGCUCAUCAUCUCUGAAUUUCUAAAGAACUAGCAGCUUGACCAAGCAACCCUCCAUCAUUGCCUACCAACUAUCAGCUGGCCCAAUCUAUGGCCAUCAAUAGAUCAGAACCUUCUAAAGUUUCAAUCAUGUCUGUGAUCUAUACAAGCAUGUUAGAUUUCUUUUUGUUGUUUGGGGGGGGGGGGGGGGAGUGUGAUUCUAUGCUAGAAAUGGAUGUUUAUAUUUGGUGCCUUCAGAGUUCACUCAGAAAAGUAGAACUAUUAUCCAGCAAUAGUUAGUUGCAUUUUGCAUGGACAACAAGUUUACUCGUGUAAUCAGCAAAUCCAAAACUAUAUGCCAGCAGAGUGUACUCUAAAAUACCAAAUCCUAACUAAAAUUAGUUUAAGAAUCCAUUCAGAUGGACAUCACAAGAAAAAAGGAACAGAGAACAGCAGCAUGCUUAAUGCUUCAUUUCACAUAGCUUUUCAAAUAGAUCUUAUUUGAGUAGAGUUCUGCUAGUAAAGAUUUUAUAAGUAAAGUUUUUACUCAAAAAAAUUGUGUUGUUUGGUUGUCAAUAAGAGCUUUUAUUAAAAAUUAUAAAAUUACUUUAAUAAGCAAAUUUUUUAAAGUUAUGUUUUGAAAAGAAAAAAAUAAGAUUGUCAUAUAAAUAGAGAAUAUUUUAGAUAUUUUAACAUUUAAAAAAAAAAUUUAACCUCUAUUCUCAAAAGCACAAAAUUUGAGCUUUUUAUAGUAGAGGCAAAAUAAAUUAUUUAAUUUUCAUGAGCUCUACUAAAAAAACAAUUAAACAACAAAAAAAAUUUUGAUAAGAGCUUAUAGGAUUAAAUAAAAUUUUAAGACCAUUAGAUAAGUCAUACCAAACAGGCACUAAGUAUGUACUACCUUUGCACGUCGUUGUUUCCUAUGUGCUUCGCUUCUUUUAGAAUCUUGACCAGGACUUAUGUAAUCCAGGAGAUCUGAUACACUGCGAAAAGCGAUCAUUAUAGGUCUUGGUGCCACAAGAAAUAAUCAACAAUUUAGAAACAAGUAAUGUGGGAAUACCCUGUUAAUACCUAAGGUGACCUUUACUCGCAAUGGACGCAUCUGGAUUUGGAGUUCCAUUCCGUGCCGCUUCUUGCUGCUCUAGAGCUCUUGAUUCAAAAUACUCCAGCCAUGCAGCAGCAUCCUGUAAAACAAAAAACAAAAUACAACAAAAUAACAAAAAUCUCUUCCCAUCAAUAAUAUGGAACUUGAGAAAUUCUCUCAUGACAGUUAAGAUUAGAGGUAGCAAAAUGGAUUACGACACAAUUACACAAUAUAAUACGACAUAUGACCCAUAUUUGUGUUAACAAAUAUUGACACGAUUAAUAAAUGAGUUGACACGACACGAUAAAUAACCAUGUCGUAUCUGUUUUGGACCAUCUCAACAUGAUUAUACGUUUAUAACAUAAAUAUCAAUUAUUAUGUGUUAAUAUUAUUGGAAAAAAACUAAAAUAUAUACUAAUCACCAAAUUAAUGACUCAUGUCAUAGUCAUAUUAUGUUAUAAACUUAUUCAUGUCAUACUUAUGUCAUUUUAACUUAUUUAUAACUUAUUUUUUUGACACAUUUGUUAUUUUUAAAUUAAUUUUUAAUUUGUUUGUAUUUAAUAUUAAACAAGUCAACACGAUUAAUAAACGGGUCAUAUCCGUAUUUUGAUAUUUCGAUACGAUUAAUGAAUGGGUCAUAUCCAUACUUAACACCAAAAUAGGCCGCCGAUACAAUUUGUUUUAUAUCAUAAUAUCACCUGUAAAAGAUUGACAAGAGAGAAGCCAACUAGCCAAAUUGCACAACAGAACCAAUUAAAAUAUGACUACAUGUAGUCACCUGAGUACGCAGAUCUUCUAGUCCAAGCUUUGCUUGGAGAAUCUUAAGUGUAGUUUGCUCAUGUUGCACACUUAGUGAAUAUGCCUCCAUCAAAGAAAGAGCUAUGGCUAUGGCAUGAUAACUUGCAGCUGUCUGUCACGUGAAGAAAUCAAACAAAAUGCUGAGUUUACAGAAAGAUUUAUAAGUCUAAAGAGCGUGUAUACAUGCGUAAAUAGAGAGAGAAAAAUCUGUAUAUGGUCACCUCCUAAUAGUCUUUGGUUGCAUUUAAUGGCCUCAUGCAAAUAUCUAAGAGAAAGAUGAACAUUUCCCAUGCCCUCUUCCAUCAUAGCCACAUUUAUGUAUGUUGCAGCAGUGUUUGGAUGUGAAAGUCCACAAGUAAAAUGCGAAAGGAAUAAGGCACGAUUUACAUAUCUGCCAAUAGUAUGGUAUGAUCAGGAGCUAGAGCCAAUAAAAGACAAAUAAAAGCUAAAGUAGGUAGAUAAAAACUGCAUUAGUUCAAAGCAGAUUCAAUACAAAGGUCUCAUUUUUCGAAACUUCCAAUUUAAUUUAUGAAUAAAUAAACCUUAAUCAGUUAAAGAAUGAAAACAAAGUUGCUCCGGUAAAUCAAGUAGUGCUACUCACUUAAGAGCCAAUUCAAUGUGUUGAAGGCGAUAAUAGAAAAUUGAAAGAUCCCCGUAGCUUUUCAUUGUAUCUGGGUGGUCGAGACCAAGUUCCCUCUCAUUAAUAUCCAAUGCCUUCUGCUGAUAUAUAGUUGCCUAAAAUGAAGAAGAAGAUAUCUUGAGUACAUACGAACACUACUCUAACACUCAGACGCAGAUGCCAUUAGACGAAAUGCCGGAACAUAAGAAUCAUGAACGUGUUUGAUUUAGUUAAAAUAUAUAAUCUGAUAUCAAAAUUAUGCUAAUGCCUGUACAUGUAAUUCCUAAGUCCAGAAAAUUAUAAUUCCUAAUGCAUAUCUUUAUACAAGACCAUAAAAACUAACCAUAACACACAAAAAUUCAAAUCAAAUGUCCCGAUGAAUGAGAACCUCCGUACAGAAGGACGUUAUAAUUAUACUAGACUUAGAAUCACCAAGUUAACACUGAAAUACAACUGAAGAUUGUCCUACCUGAUUAAAGUCUCCAGUAUAGUAGAGAACUACAGCUAGAAGACUGUAAGCACUUGCAGUAGUCCGAUGGUCGGGACCACAAACAGCUAUCAUCCUUGCCAGUGCCUUACAAUGCAAGUAAUACAUCAUAUGAGAUCAAGAGAUGCCUUAUUAUGAAAAGAAUAAUGUAAUUCUUACGUAUAGAUCGAGUGGGUUAUUACCUUUGUCCCAUAAUUUACAGCAUCUUCUAGUUUUCCUCUAUCAAGGGCAAUUUUGGAUGACUCUAAUAAGGUCCGUCCAUCGGCUGAAGUGCAACCUACAUGCUGUAGAAUGCCAUAAAAGUAGCACAAUUACAUUCAAUUUACAAAUGAGUGACUCAUUGAGAAUGUAAAAACUAAAUCAAAACACAAUUAAGAGAGAAAAUAGUCUCACCUUGCACACAGGAACCAUGCUGACAAUAUCAUCUCUCGUGAAUGGGUUUGGGCAUUCCAUAUAAUAAUCUCUGGGAACCAACACCAACCCAACCUGGGUGAAGUUUACAAGCAAAAUUCAAGCUUUGAAAAUAAUCGGCUGCCAAAGGAACCGAAAAGACAGAACCUUAUAUGGCAAAGCCCACGUAGAAUUGAAAUCUUUCUCAAAUGCUGAAACUCAUCUUUCAGGGACCAACCAAAUCUUCUGCCAAGAAAUGUUCAUAGCCACUGCAAUCUGAGGAUAUGAUCUUCAUUCAAGCUUUGGUCAUCUUCCAUCUCACAACAGCCAAAUAAUAAAUUUAGGGAAGAAGCUAUAGCUGCAGAUAGGUCUGAUAAAUAGUCAACAGAUGCGAUGACUCCUUUAAGUAUAUGCUUGAACGCUCGAGUAACCAUCUCAUGAAUACAAAGUGAUUGUAUGUGAGGAAGCUUCUCUGCAAGUUCAACCUGAAUUUGUAAAUGGGAUUAGAACCAACAGAAGAAGAAUACCAGGCUUUCAAGUAUUAGCAUGUCAAUUUCUCAAAAUAUUGUAUGUCAUACAACAUACAGUAAUAUCUAAAGACGACAAUAAUUCAAUGUCUUGGAAAAGGUCAAAAAUGUCAAAAAUUCUAUCAUGUAGUACAAUUUUCAAAAAGGAACAUUGAUAAUUCAAUCCAGGAAGACUUGGGGGGAUUGUUUACAUAUAGAAAGAUAACUUGGGGGCUUUGUUUACAUAAAGAAAGACAACCUUUGCUUAUUCCGAUUUCCAUGGGUGAAUAGGUUGCAUGUCUGAGAGAGAAAGAGAGGGAGAAAUUCCUCAGCACGCGACCUAAAGAGCGCAUUUGUAGUCCCCUUAAAUGCAUAAAGUCUGUCAGUGUCGGCCAUCAACCGGAGAAAGUUCAAGUGAUCCAAAGUCUGUUACCUAAUAAAGAAUGGAAAUUAGUCCAUAAACCAUCCCCACACGUCUAAAUUGGCUGCAACAAAGGCCCUAAAUAAAUUAAAUAGUACCAGCUUUGGUAAAGCAAUGUCAUCAUAAUACUUGUAUGUCAUUUUCAUAAGCUCAUCCACUGCCUGCACAAUAAAUUAAUUUUACCAGUCAUUCCAUAUGAAAAUAAAACAAACCAAAUUUAGCGUAAUGAAAACACAAAAAGUAGCAAACUUUACAGUUGAAAUGCAAAACAAAUUUGAGAUUCUGAAACCUUUGAAUGAAGACUAGUGCCAGUUUCUUUCAAUCGCAAGAAGGAUUCUUCAGAAAUUAGUUUUUUUCAAUUCCAUCUCACAAUUCAGCUCGCCAUUGCUUUGCUGUCUACCAUUACCUCCCACAUUCACGCUGCACGGUCCAUUGUCAUUUUCGUUAGCCUCAUUAAUGCUACCAAUAAGGUUAGGUCUGUUCUCCCUCUUCUUCAAAAAUUUAAAUUGCUUCCCAAGACCUUUGACAGCAUGUUCAGUCUCAAUAUCAUCCCCAGACCUCGUUGACUUGGUAUCUGUUGGAGUUUCCUACUUUUGUAGAUGCUGCACCCAACAAGAACCAAGUUCCCAUCUAAUAGAUCUUUCUAAAGCAGUUGGCUCCAGCUCUAACUUUGCUAAACUCUGUUUAAUAACUCCUCUUACAAGACUUCUAAAAGCUUCUGAAUUAUCCAUAUUGCACAGAGGUGACUGGUCUCCUCUAGCCGAUUCAGCACUGAAAGACUUCUGAAGCACAAGCCUUAAGCUGUAAUAAAUAGUUUACCCUGUCAGAACAACUUAAAUGGAGAAAGACAUAAGAGUAUAUGAAACAAAGGCAGAAUCCACCAAAGAAGGCCUAAAUACUUUCUGAAAUAGCACAAUCUAAAAAGCUGAUGACCAAUUUCAGCAACUGAGCAUGCACUGUAAUUAUACUUUCCUUUAUCCUUUAUUUGAACAUCAUCAACGAUGUCUGUUGGUUAUUUUGUUAAUAUAACAAUUACAAACCAAUGUCAGGGCACAUAACUAUAAACACUCAACCAUUAUUGUGAAAGCCAUGACUUAAUGUUUCCUGCAACCACUCGUUAUUAUUUAGGUGGUCUACAACUAUGCAGAGGUGAAGCAUCCCCAUACAGUGAAGGAUCUCACACGUAUUUUAAUAGAGGAAAAGCCAUUUUCUAGUCGACAGGAUGCUGAAAGAGGAGUAUAUAUCCCUAACUAGAUAUCAACUUUCUUUUCUUUGGCCUAUUCAUAAACUUAACACUUGAAGAAAACCUGGUUUAGAAAUCUGCAAUCAACUUCCCUUAAGAGUUCAGACAUCUAUUGAUUAGAUCCCAUCUAAACAGAAAGAAAAAGGAGCAUGUGCUAUCCUUUCUUAAGAAUCCCCAACACCACCAUUUCAAUCAUGUUCUAUCUGGUAAAAAUAAAGAGAAUAACAAUGCUCUGCAUCAUGAAUUCAACUGUGCUAGACACUAAGCAAAGAAGCUCAUACCAGUUAGUAUGUCUAAGAUAUCUUGCAGAAUAGCUUAAAACUGUUAGUGGUUGAAAGAUAAUUUUCCAUAUCUUACAGCCAUUCUCCAUCUGUAGAUUUCCUAGUCUUUGUGUGCUAAGAGGAAUCGACAGGGGAAGCAUUGUGUUACAAUUUCAAACCUGUUAAUAUUAAGAGAAUUAGCUCCUCCAUCAGGUUGAUCUUCAAUUUCAAUAUCUUGUGUGCCAAACUUCUCCUUCACAUCACCAACAACCUUUACUACAGCGGUGUAUCCACAGUGUCUUACAAUGACGGUACCCAAUGAGGAGGUAUCCUGCCAAAAACUAUAUUGUUUCAGUUCUCUUUAUCACAAAAUCUUUCAAACUAAAAUAAAAGAAAGAGAAAAAGAAAAGGAAGAUAAAUCUAGAUAUUUCAAGAAAAUUUUAUUUCAAGAUCUACCAUGCUGAAAACUUUAGCAAUUGUAUCACUAGUUGAUAUAAUACAAGCAUGGACAACCAAGGUUAAUAGGCUUCCCCAAAAAGGGUUGAUGACAUUAAGCUGGAGCAAACUACAAGCAGAAAAUCAGAGGGAUAUGGAUAAAAUGAGUAGAAAGACCUGCUAUCAAGUGAUUUCAACAGAAUAGGGAGUCACCAAACAGAAUGGCACAUAAGAUUCAUGAAGCUAAACCAGAUAUAUAAGGUUAGUAACGAGUAGUGAUUCUCAGGAAAGAACCUAAAAUUGACUUUCUUGUGCAUUCAUAAAUGUGUAGAAAGAGAGAAUGAAGAGGAUGGGUAUUUUAGGCCAUCAUCAAAUGCUAGAUAUCAGAUAAAGAGUGAAACAUCUUAAUCCGACUGAAAAAACACUCCCUGACAAAGGUAGAGCUAUAUUUUUCCGCCCACGUAAGUAAUUUCAGCUUUGAUGAAUGUCUUUUAUGUGUGUGGUCUGUGAACGUAAGCAUAAGAAGUAAAGGAGAAAUCGACUUACGUGAACAACUACACUCUCAUCUGCAGUAACACCUUUUAGUAAAUUCCUUUGAGCAACUUCUGCAGCAGACAUACCGGAUGACUGAUUUCCUUUAAUAGUAACCUCAGACUUCAAGCUUGCAUCUACUGUAUCACGUUUUACUGUAAUGGACAAGUCUCCCACACGAUCUUCAUGCAAGAUCCCCUUUGGACAUUGAUUGUAUCUUGAGUGUGUAAAUUUGAAUCAAUGAGACGGCGUAUUGCUCCAACAGCUUUAAAAAUUGAGACAUCAACAAAUUGGUUAUGAAGCAAAAAGGCCUUCCGAUCUCUAACCACCCUCUCCUCUUCAGUUUUGCAAGGAAGCCUAGCCAGUAUAGCAAAUUCCGUCGCCCAUGGUCGUAAAUCAUGUUCUCCAUCUCUUCCCUGGCCUCCGCCAUUGCCACCCCAAUUCUCAUCUUCUGCCGGUAGGCAUGGGAAAUUUGAUGGAGACUCAGCAACAGAUGGAGGUACAAGCCAUGUAUUAGCUCGAAAUCCAUAGGGAAGAUUACCAAACUGAAGAAGGAUAAUGAAUAUACUAUAUCAGUAAAAUCAAGUUAAAAUCACAUUUGAAUUGGUAAUAAACUAUGUCAGCACAGAAAUUGUUACCUUAUUAUGUUCAACAAAAGCUUUCAUUAGGGAUUCAUAUGCCUGCAUCACGCAUAAUGACCAUAAUUAUUAACAAAACAAUUGAUGGGUAAGCUAAUUGAAUUUACAGAGGAAAAAAAGAUGCAUUCAGAUAAAAAAGAAAAAAAUAAUCUGUAGAUUCAACUAUUGAGUACCCACAUUGGCAAAAGCUCGACUGAGAUUUUGCAGAAGAUCCACCAGGGAGUUGCUUCGGAAAAACUGCUUUCCCAAAGUAUAGAACCCUUUUACUGAUGCAACUACUUGUAUAAGCUUUCCAUUGCAGAUUUUUAUCUGUGAAAAUAAUUCAUGCAUUCUUAUUAAUUAGCAGACAAUGAUUAUUAAAUCUUUAACACUCAUUGGCCAAUUCAUCAGCAAAAAUAAUGAGUUGAAUAACUCUACAAUUAAUUAGUCCUUAAACAACAAACAACAAUAAUCAGAACUUUAUAUUAAAUGGCACCUGAAUUUCAAAAUAAUCACCGUCGCGCUUCUCUCCUUCUUUGCGUUCACAUUUUCUCAAAUCUUCAAAAUCAAAAUUAUUAAAAAUUAAAAUCAAUAAACAAAUUUCAUAUUCAAAUAAAUCACAUAUAUUUAUUUCAUUUUCCUCUUUCUUUUUAUUUUUUUUUUGAUCGACCAUGUAAAAAACGAAGACAAAUAAAUAAAUGGACAUUAGGCUUACUCAAGAUGGGGGGAGAGAGGUGAGAGAAAGAGAAGAAGUCAUAAAACUCGGAGGGUUUCGGCGUCGGGUGAAUGGCCACCAUGUCCAGACUCGGAGAAACCGCCGAUGAAACUGGCGAUGACGUGGCGCGGGGCCCGCUUCGGUUAUCUGCUGCUGCUGUUGCUGCUCAAUCAGACAGAGCGGCAGAGUUUGGUGAAGGCGGGUGGGGCCUACUGCCGUUCUUUUUGGCACAUGACUCUGACGGUGGCGGCAAUCGGGAGUUUCUGGACUUGGAGAACCAUGUGGUGCACGCGACGAUGUCAAGAAGCCGCCGCACGUGUGCCACGGCCUGAGAUUCGUCGGUGUAUUCCUCGGGAGAAUUGUGUGGGAUGUACCCCAUUCCCUUCAAAAUACCCAAUAUAUACCUAAAAUUAUAACACUCUUAAAUUUUACACAUAUAUACUCUAAAAAAUUAGAGAAAGUAUAAAAAUAACCACAACUAAAUUCUCUUAAAACUAAACCCAACUCCUCGAAGUCGGGUAAAUAGUUGAGAAUACUCAACUUCAACCAAAUCAUACACAAUUAAUAAUUCAGCAUAAAUUCUCGACUUUUUCAUGUUAGUCGAGUAAAUAGUCGAGAAUACUCGACUUCAAUUGAAAAAAAAAAUUAUCUAAAAAAUUAUUGAUUUUUUUAAGUAAGUUGAGUAAAGAGUCGAGAAUACCCGACUUUAAUUUAACCCUACCCAAUAUUCAUUCAGCAAAAAUUCUUGACUUUUCAUUGAAGUUCGGUAAUUGGUUGAGAAUACUCAACUUAAAUUGAAAUGAAAAUUUUCCUUUUAAUUAAGUUAGGUAAAAGGUCGAGUAUACUCGACUUUGGUUGUGUUAUUAUGUAGAAGUCAUGAGAGAGGAACUAAACGUAAAUAGAUGAUUUUUUUAGGUUAUUUUUUACAUUUUACACUUUUAGGAGGUAUAUGUAUGUAAUGGGGUAUAGAUUUGGCAUUUAAGGACAAAUGGGGUAUAUUUAAAUAAAAAACCCGUAUUCCUCUGCGAAGGACAGUGCCAAAAAUGUAAAUAACAAGGAAUUGCCAGGCAAAGUUUUUUUUCUUUUAUUAUUUUAGUUCUUUCAAUUAAGUGAAAUUAUCAUUUGUAUACCCUUAGUUUACUCCAUUAUCAAAAAUAUUAUAAUAUUUUGAGGGUGUAUCAAUCGUCCACCUUAAGUUGACAAAAUAUAUCAGCUGACCACCAAACUGUUAAUUAGUGUUUAAGUAUGAUGACGUCAGAAGGGUAAUUUAGUCUUUUUAUAUGAUACAAGUGUUAAUUUAAGAGUAUACAAGUGAUAAAAAGAGAAUUUAAGGGUAUACAAGUGAUAAUUUUCAAGGGUAAAAUCAUCAAUUCACUGUAAUUCCAUUAACUUUCAAACGGCAACUAACGGUUUGGUGGUAAACUGAUCCAUUUUGUCAACUAAGGGUGGACGAUUGAUAUCUAUCUUCAUUUCAUUACUUAUAGCUAUAAAUGAAAAAUGUUUUUUUAAUAGAUCUUAGAUUUCAAUGCUUUUGAAGUAUUAUUUAUAUCUAUACAUCAAAACUGGAAAAAAAAAUCUAAAUCUAACUAAUAUGACAUUUAUCUUUCACUCUUCCAUUUAUUAAUCUUGCUACAGGAUUAAUAUGACAUUAAUUCUUGAUACAGAAUUGUUAUGUUGAAACAUGAUAAUUAAAUAUUUGCAUCACUGAUACACCACCUUCCUAAUGAUUUGUUGAUCAAAGUACUUGGACAAAAUUAUAUAUGAAGACCAGUUCGUUUUUCUUUUUCUUUUUUUGUUUUUGUUUUUCUUUGAAUGCUGAGGAAUAAAUUAAAUUUAAGACAAAUUAAUUGUAUUUUAAGACAAUUUAUUAUUUAAGAAGACAAUUAAAAUAUUAUCAAUUUCUCUUUACAUUAUCCAAUAGGUUUAGAGGUUACAGAACCAUUGUCCAGUGAACAACAUCAAGUGAACAAAUUCUUCCUCAGAAAAUUGUAAUGUUAAACAAGAAGGACUUCGGGCUAUGAAGAGCAAAAAGUGUGUGGGCAUUUUUUUUUUCCCCUUUUUCCAGAUUAUUGAAACGCUUUUGCAAUCAACAUCAUAUUAUGAGAAAUAAGUUCACAUUACUCUAUUAUUAUUUGUGCUGACCAAAAUAAUUAGGCAAUUUGAUUUUUGUCUGUUUUUUAAGUCUUGUACUGGAUUUUGAUCGAAUUCGCUAUAAUUAGUUUUCAUUCUAUAAAAUUUUGAUCUUUUAUUUUCAAGUUCAGGAAUAUGUAAUUUGAAGAAUCUUUUUGAGUUGGAUCUAAGCUCAAAUAACUUUGAGGGUCACCUUCCUCAGUGUCUCAACAACUUGACCAAUCUCAAAGUUCUUGAUAUUUCUAAUAAUCAAUUAAGUGGAAACUUUCCUUCUACCUUGACCAACCUCGCAUCACUUGAAUAGUUGUUGAAAUUUCAGAGGCUAAAAACAUCCAAAAGUUGUGAUCUUGAGUUACUGAUGAAUCGGCUUAUUUUUCUUUAGCCUUCCUCUGUUUUCCUUCUCAAUUUCCUUUGCUUUCCUUUAUUCAAAUUCAUUAAGCUUAUUUUUGUAAUUUCAGAGUAGACCAUACUUUUACGAAUAAUUUACCAAACAAAAAUGACAAAAUUAUUUUUGUAAUUUCAUAGUAGACCAUACUUUUGGAAUAUCAGUUAUGAAAUGACGAAUGAAAUCCUCUGUUUUUAGUCUCUCUGUCCUAUUAUCGUUAAUGUUAAAAAUUUCAGUGGCUUAAAACAUCCAAGAGUUGCGUGCAAUUGUCAUAUGAUGUUACUGAUGAAUUAGCUUAUUUUUCUUUGGCUUUCCUCUAUCUUUCUUCGAGUAUUGAUAUUUGAACACUGUCAAGAAGCCACCAAGAUAGAAACACCAGUAGUGUUUAUACUACAAUACCACUAGUUUACUGUAUCUUUCUUUUAUGAGCAAUUGAACUUUUUAUGUAUUAAUUAUAGCCGGUUGCUUUGAAGCGGGGUUUCUGCCUUGUUGUGCAAUUCAUUUGCCAUAUGAAUCUGAAGAAUUUAUUGUUCACUGAGAUCUUAAGACUAUGGAGCGAAGGCCUUAACAGAAUUAGCUCGUUACAUGUGACACGCAGGAUGUCUGUGUUAAUUAUUUUGAUUCACACGGAGGCUAAAAACAUCCAAAAGUUGUGUGCAAAUGUCAUAUGGAGUUACUGAUGAAUCAGCUUAUUUUUCUUUAGCAUUCCCCUCUUUUCCUUUUCAUUUUCUUUUACUUUUCCUUCAUUCAAAUUCUUUCACUGUGCGGCUGUGGUCCUCAAACUCAAUUAUGAUAUUUACUAGUCGUGCGUCGAAUGUGGCUCUGAUUGAUGAUACGAUUGCUUGAUUUUGUUUAUAAACUUGGCUAUUGGUUAACGUCAACACACAUCCUCCAUGUCCAUGGGUUAGUUGACAGAGUACGUCAAUCGAAGGUCGCCUUACAGUGUGCGUGUUUGAUUAUAAUUAUCGUAGAAUAAGUCAAUGAAAUUGCAGAAAGUCUCUAAUCAUUUAAUAAAUCUUUCGUAAAUUUCCUCAUCGCUUCCUAUGUCACAAUGAUAUUGGUGUAGCCAGUGACUUUGAAUAAACUCAUACUGGCGUACAUUAUGGUUUUAGCACUGCCUGGAACUAUAUUAUUCAUCAAUUUUUUUUAUAACAUUAAGACAUCCUCCAUGUCCCACGGGUUAGUUGACAGAAUACGUCAAUCGAAGGUCGCCUUGUAGUGUGCGUGUUUGAUUAUAUGAUUAUAAUUAUACGUCAAUCGAUGGAUGUUCUAAUUCAUGUUUCCAUUGGCUUUCGAAACAAAAAAUCUCAGUUUAUUGUGAAAUAUACAAGCCCUUAUGCACACCGGAUAAUUUUCUAAACAUGUAUAAAAAAUAGUUGAUUAUUGAUUUUCACAAAUUCCAAUAUAUCAAACAUCCUAUUGAAUUAUUAAUUCCAAAGCACUUUUUUAAGUAUCAAUAGUGGAAUAAAUUAUUUGAUAAUUUAAAACCCAAACUUACGCCUAAAUUCUUUAAAUUAUCUCAUUCAACUUUUAUUUUAUUAGUUGACUAUCUCCAUCAAUUUUUGUAAAAAAUAGAAUUGACGACCAUUUGUAUGUUGGCUUUAUUUGAAAGUCCGUCAACAUUUAUUUUCCAUGGAGUAUUAAUGAAGUGUUUUUCCUCAUUGGUCCAGGUCCUACAAGUCUUCGUCAGUCAUUAUAGAGACCAAAACUAAUUAUCUUUAUCUGUGCCAAUCGCCAUAAAGAUUGAUUUUGAAUUAAUAUUAAGAUCGAUUGUCCAGUAACAUUAAGAUUGAUUGAAUCAAUCUUUAAAAAUCAAUCAAACUUCCAAUUAUAAUAAUUGUGACAUUUUUUUCAUAAAUUCGUAAUUUUUGUAUAAAUCGAGCUUUUAUGCUCAUGAUUGGUGAAGCAAUAGAGCGAAAAAUUUGAUCUUGAUAGGAAAUAUUAAUUGAGCAUACAUUGGGUUUCGAUGGAACUAAUCAUUCACAAGUUUUGGUGGUCACUGUGAUUGGCGCUUUAACACAAUGAUUGAAUGCUACAAUACAUAUGUAUUUAUUUAUAAAAUUAAGCCUAUUUAAAUUUCACCUCUACAUAUAUCAUACAUCAUAUAAAAUGUCAUUUGAAUGUAGUCCACGCUUUUAUGAGUAAAUUAUCAAAUAUAUAUGGAAAAUUACUUGAUUAAUUGUUGGCCAUCUAAUAAUAAAAAAAAAUUAACAAAAAUCUAAUAAAAUAAUUUUCUAAACUCACUAAAUAUUUUAGAAUAUUAAUCCUUGAAUAGAUUUUUUAAUAAUUCAGUGCAAACCCAAUCAUACAAUUCAAUAAAAGGUCAAUCAUACUCUUAAAUUACAUAAAUUCUUAGUCAACUUUUAUUUGAUAGUAUUGACCGUCGCCACUAAUUGUUAGUGGAAAAAGAAUUGAUGGUCACUUGUUUGUUGGCUUAAUUUGAAAGUCAGUCAACUUUAAUUUUCCACGUAGUUGUAAUAAUAUAUGCAAAAUUUUUAUUUUCCACGUAGUUGUCAUUUAAAUUGGACCCGUGCAGCUGUCCCAAGUUCAUACGAAAUUUCUGUUUUAGUCAUUUUAGUAGCUUUGAUUCAAAUGCAUGAACACAAGGGGUCACAAGAGCUUCAAAUAACAUUUAUGUGUUUUGUCAUUUCAGACUACGCCACACUAACUAAACAUAGAUGAAGAUUUACGUUGAUUAAUUAUUGAUUCUCUAAUAAAUUAAUUUAAACUUAUCAAACAUCCAAUCAAAUUCUUCUCAAAACACAUUAUUUAAUAGAUUGACUGAUAAUGCAAUGGAAAUUCAAAUAUACGGUUAAAUUAUUUAAAUUCUCUCAGUCAACUUUUAUUUUACUAGUUAUGAUUAUCUCCAUCAAACUAUUGUAAAAAUUUAUAGUUUACAAUCACUUUAUCUAUAUUUUCCACGGGGUAUUAAUGAAGUGCUUUUUCCCGUUGGUCGAAUGUUGCAAAACAUGGAAUGCUUACAAGUCUUCAAACAUGGCGAUGUAUUGGAAAGUCUUAAAAAAGUCUUCAGCCAAUCAAAUUGCAAGACAUGCGAUAAACUUUUAGUAUAAAUUGCUCUGCAAUGGAAAGUUGCUCAUUGCACAUUUAAUUUUAACCAAAUGAAAAGUUGCUCUACAAUGGAAAGUACUUCCUGUAUUAAGUUCUCAUUAAUGUCACUAAUUUGGAUUAUUGUAUUGAUGAAUGAAAUUCAUGGAUACAAAGGAUGCUUGGAAACAGAGAGGACUGCUCUGUUGGAAAUCAAGAGCUUCUUCGUAUCAAUCAGGGAUAUUGGAUAUGAUGACAAAAUUCUUCCUUCAUGGGUUGGUGAGGAUGAUGGAAUGUCGUCUGAUUGUUGUGAUGAUUGGGAGGGAGUUAUGUGCAACGCCACCACACGACGCGUGAUGCAACUCUCACUCAAUCAUACACAGGGAUUGAAUUAUUUUGAUAGUACUUCGGCUUCGGUUCUGAUCAAUAUGUCCUUGUUUCAUCCUUUUGAAGAAUUGCAAAGCCUUGACUUGUCUGACAAUUGGUUUACAGGCAUCUAUGAGAAUAGAGGUCCGUAUAUAUGUAUACAUUUAUUUCUCGUCCAUAAAUAUUUUGUCAGUGACUAAUUAAUAAUAAUAUUUCAUAUGCAUUUGCAGCUUACGAUAGCUUUGGGAGUUUGAAGCAGCUGAAGACCUUAAAUCUUGAAUAUAAUUUCUUCAACGACAGCAUAUUACCAUAUUUGAAUACACUAACUUCACUUACCACUCUGAAUCUUCAUUAUAAUAAGAUUGAAGGUUCCAGAACCAGGCAAGGUAUAUACAUAUACGUUUCAGGCCAGCAGAUAUACAUGUCAUGCAACUUAAUUAAUUUCUUAAUUAAAAUAUAUAUGUAUAUUGUCUUGAUCAAAAUUAAUGUUUUCUUAGCAGGAUUAGCAAAUUUGAGAUACUUGCAAGUGUUGGAUCUAAGCAUGAACGCCAAUAUAACUAGCGGCUCUUUAACAAGGCUAGGUAGGCUACUGAGAUAAUUACCAAGUUAGCAUACUAAUCACAACCUUCUACAAUAAUUUUAAAAGUAAUAUUUUGCUUUUCAUUGGUGUAGGAUUGGCAAAUUUGACAAACCUGAAAAAAUUGUAUCUUGAUCAAUGUGGAAUAACUACAAUUCAAGGUACACGGCAACAAGUCACUACCCAAAUUCCUUGUGAUAUUAUAAUGCCCUUAAUUUUUACACAUGUAUAAUGUCAAAUUAAAACCAAUUUUUGAUUGGAAAACUUGACAAACUUGACUACAAUUGGUACACGACAAAAAUUUACUUUCUAAUUUCUUAGUAAAAUUUAAAGAAAAAGAAAAAAUAAAAUCAUUUUUGAGUAUAUGAUCAAUUUAAUUAGAUCUGAAUCAUAAGCUUUAUUACUACAAUUAUUUAAUCUAACUUUGAAAUUUAUUUCUUAAUUCUUUAUUUUUUUCCCAAAGAUGAUUACUAUCAUUUUUCUUCUUUCUUGGCGCAAGAUUAGCUAAAUUAAAAAACUUGGAAGCGUUGGAUUUCAGUUCUAAUUAUUAUAUACACGGUUCUUUAGAAGGUCAUUUUUUUAAUUAAACAAUUUGCACAAUUAAUUUUCAUUCAAUAUUUACCAUAUUAUUUUAAUUAAACAAUUUAGACGAGAGUGACAUAACUGCUAUUGACAAAAUUUAUGUUUUUUUUUUUAACAGGAUUAGCAAAUUUUACAAACCUGCAAGUGUUGGAUUUAAGCGGUAAUCAAAAUCUGACAACGCUAGGUAGGCUACUGAAUCUGAGAUAAGAAGCAAAUUAAAUGUAGAAUUAAUGUUCAUCAAACGCGCGGAUCACAUACAAUGCCUUUAAAUGUAAUAUUUUCAUUUUUUAUCGGCGCAUGUAGGAUUUGUGGAUUUGCCAAACUUGAAAACAUUGGAUCUUGGUUUUUGUGGGAUAACUACAAUUCAAGGUAUAUAACAAUUCACUUCCUCCAAUGACAAAAAUUGUUUUAGAUGUUAAUUAAGAUGAUAAUAUAUUUCCAUUUUUUAAUUGCUUUUUUCACAUUUUCAAGUUUACUCAAAGUGCAAACUAGUUUACAAAUUAUGAUUCAAACACUUCAAAUCUUGGUAAUGCUAAAAGUGACGGUAUAUAUUAAAAUAUCAAUAGAAAAAAAAUAACAAUGUGCACAGUCAAUUUUCAUUCAAUAUUUACCUUAUUAUUUUAAUUAAACAAUUUAGAUGGGAGUGACAUAACUGUUAUUGACAAAAUUUUUGCCUUUUUAACAGGAUUAGCAAAUUUGACAAACCUGCAAGUGUUGGAUUUGAGCGAUAAUCGACAUUUGUCAACGCUAGGUAGGCCACUGAAUCUGAGAUAAGAAGCAAAUUAAAUGUAGAAUUAAUGUUCAUCAAACGCGCGGAUCACAUACAAUGCCUUUAAAUGUAAUAUUUUCAUUUUUUAUCAACACAUGUAGGAUUCGCAGAUUUGCCAAACUUGAAAACAUUGGAUCUUCGUUCUUGUGGGAUAACUACAAUUCAAGGAAUAUAACAACUCACUUCCUCUAAUGACAAAAUUUGUUUUAGAUGUUAAUCAAGAGGAUAACAUAUUUCCAUUUUUUUAAUUGCUUUUUUCACAUUUUUAAGUUUACUCAAAGUGCAAACUAAUUUACAAAUCAUCAUUCAAACACUCCAAAUCUUGGUAAUGCUAAAAGUGACGGUAUAUAUUAAAAUAUCAAUAGAAAUAAAAAAAUAACAAUGUGCAUAGUUAAUUUUCAUUCAAUAUUUACCAUAUUAUUUUAAUUAAAUAAUUUAGACGAGAGUGACGUAACUGUUAUUGACAAAAUUUAUGUGUUUUUUUUUAACAGGAUUAUCAAAUUUGACAAACCUGCAACUGUUGGAUUUAUGCGGCAAUCAAAAUCUGACAACACUAGGUAGGCCACUAAAUAUAAGAUAAGAAGCAAAUUAAAUGUAGAAUUAAUGUUCAUCAAACGCAUGGAUCACAUACAAUGCCUUUAAAUGUAAUAUUUUCAUUUUUUAUCGGCGCAUAUAGGAUUCGCAGAUUUGCCAAACUUGAAAGUAUUGGAUCUUGGUUAUUGUGGGAUAACUACAAUUCAAGGUAUAUAACAAUUCACUUCCUCCAAUGACAAAAAUUGUUUUAGAUGUUAAUUAAGAUGAUACUAUAUUUCCAUUUUUUAAUUGCUUUUUUCACAUUUUCAAGUUUACUCAAAGUGCAAACUAAUUUACAAAUUAUGAUUCAAACACUCCAAAUCUUGGUAAUGCUAAAAGUGACGGUAUAUAUUAAAAUAUCAAUAGAAACAAAAAAAUAACAAUGUGCACAGUUAAUUUUCAUUCAAUAUUUACCAGAUUAUUUUAAUUAAACAAUUUAGACGAGAGUGACAUAACUGUUAUUGACAAAAUUUAUGUGUUUUUUUUAACAGGAUUAGCAAAUUUGACAAACCUGCAAGUGUUGGAUUUAAGCGGUAAUCAAAAUCUGACAACGUUAGGUAGGCCACUGAAUCUAAGAUAAGAAGCAAAUUAAAUGUAGAAUUAAUGUUCAUCAAACGCACGGAUCACAUACAAUUCCUUUAAAUGUAAUAUUUUCAUUUUUUAUCGGCGCAUGUAGGAUUCGCAGAUUUGCCAAACUUGAAAACAUUGGAUCUUGGUUCUUGUGGGAUAACUACAAUUCAAGGAAUAUAACAACUCACUUCCUUCAAUGACAAAAUUUGUUUUUAGAUGUUAAUCAAGAUGAUAAUAUAUUUCUAUUUUUUUAAUUGCUUUUUUCACAUUUUCAAGUUUACUCAAAGUGCAAACUAAUUUACAAAUUAUGAUUCAAACACUCCAAAUCUUGGUAAUGCUAAAAGUGACGGUAUAUAUUAAAAUAUCAAUAGAAACAAAAAAAAAAACAAUGUGCACAUUUAAUUUUCAUUCAAUAUUUACCAUAUUAUUUUAAUUAAACAAUUUAGACGAGAGUGACGUAACUGUUAUUGACAAAAUUUAUGUGUUUUUUUUUAACAGGAUUAUCAAAUUUGACAAACCUGCAAGUGUUGGAUUUAAGCGGUAAUCAAAAUCUGACAACGCUAGGUAGGCCACUGAAUCUAAGAUAAGAAGCAAAUUAAAUGUAGAAUUAAUGUUCAUCAAACGCACGGAUCACAUACAAUUCCUUUAAAUGUAAUAUUUUCAUUUUUUAUCGGCGCAUGUAGGAUUCGCAGAUUUGCCAAACUUGAAAACAUUGGAUCUUGGUUCUUGUGGGAUAACUACAAUUCAAGGUAUAUAACAACUCACUUCCUCCAAUGAAAAAAUUUGUUUUAGAUGUUAAUCAAGAUGAUAAUAUAUUUCCAUCUUUUUAAUUUCUUUUUUCACAUUUUCAAGUUUACUCAAAGUGCAAACUAAUUUACAAAUUAUGAUUCAAACACUCCAAAUCUUGGUAAUGCUAAAAGUGAUGGUAUAUAUUAAAAUAUCAAUAGAAACAAAAAAAUAACAAUGCGCACAGUUAAUUUUCAUUCAAUAUUUACCAUAUUAUUUUAAUUAAACAAUUUAGACGAGAGUGACAUAACUGUUAUUGACAAAAUUUAUGUAUUUUUUUUUAACAGGAUUAGCAAAUUUGACAAACCUGCAAGUGUUGGAUUUAAGCGGUAAUCAAAAUCUGACAACGUUAGGUAGGCCAUUGAAUCUAAGAUAAGAAGCAAAUUAAAUGUAGAAUUAAUGUUCAUCAAACGCACGGAUCACAUACAAUUCCUUUAAAUGUAAUAUUUUCAUUUUUUAUCGGCGCAUGUAGGAUUCGCAGAUUUGCCAAACUUGAAAACAUUGGAUCUUGGUUCUUGUGGGAUAACUACAAUUCAAGGUAUAUAACAACUCACUUCUUUCAAUGACAAAAUUUGUUUUAGAUGUUAAUCAAGAUGAUAAUAUAUUUCUAUUUUUUUAAUUGCUUUUUUCACAUUUUGAAGUUUACUCAAAGUGCAACUAAUUUACAAAUUAUGAUUCAAACACUCCAAAUCUUGGUAAUGCUAAAAAUGACGGUAUAUAUUAAAAUAUCAAUAGAAACAAAAAAAAUAACAAUGUGCAAAGUUAAUUUAAUUCAAUAUUUACCAUAUUAUUUUUAUUAAACAAUUUAGACGAGAGUGACAUAACUGUUGUUGACAAAAUUUACCUUUUUUUAACAGGGUUAGCACAUUUGACAAACCUGCAACUGUUGGAUUUAAGCGAUAAUCAAAAUCUGACAACGCUAGGUAGGCCACUGAAUUUGAGACAAGAAGCAAAUUAAAUGUAAAAUUAAUGUUCAUCAAACGCGCGGAUCACAUACAAUGCCUUUAAAUGUAAUAUUUUCAUUUUUAUCGGCGCAUAUAGGAUUCGCAGAUUUGCCAAACUUGAAAACAUUGGAUCUUGGUUCUUGUGGGAUAACUACAAUUCAAGGUAUAUAACAACUCACUUCGUCCAAUGACAAAAAUUGUUUUACAUGUUAAUCAAGAUGAUAAUAUAUUUCCAUUUUUUUUAAUUGCUUUUUUCACAUUUUCAAGUUUACUCAAAGUGCAAACUAAUUUACAAAUUAUGAUUCAAACACUCCAAAUCUUGGUAAUGCUAAAAGUGACGGUAUAUAUUAAAAUAUCAAUAGAAACAAAAAAAAAAAAACAAUGUGCACAUUUAAUUUUCAUUCAAUAUUUACCAUAUUAUUUUAAUUAAACAAUUUAGACGAGAGUGACGUAACUGUUAUUGACAAAAUUUAUGUGUUUUUUUUUAACAGGAUUAUCAAAUUUGACAAACCUGCAAGUGUUGGAUUUAAGCGGUAAUCAAAAUCUGACAACGCUAGGUAGGCCACUGAAUCUAAGAUAAGAAGCAAAUUAAAUGUAGAAUUAAUGUUCAUCAAACGCACGGAUCACAUACAAUUCCUUUAAAUGUAAUAUUUUCAUUUUUUAUCGGCGCAUGUAGGAUUCGCAGAUUUGCCAAACUUGAAAACAUUGGAUCUUGGUUCUUGUGGGAUAACUACAAUUCAAGGUAUAUAACAACUCACUUCCUCCAAUGAAAAAAAAUUGUUUUAGAUGUUAACCAAGAUGAUAAUAUAUUUCCAUUUUUUUAAUUUCUUUUUUCACAUUUUCAAGUUUACUCAAAGUGCAAACUAAUUUACAAAUUAUGAUUCAAACACUCCAAAUCUUGGUAAUGCUAAAAGUGACGGUAUAUAUUAAAAUAUCAAUAGAAACAAAAAAAUAACAAUGUGCACAGUUAAUUUUCAUUCAAUAUUUACUAUAUUAUUUUAAUUAAACAAUUUAGACGAGAGUGACAUAACUGUUAUUGACAAAAUUUAUGUGUUUUUUUUUAACAGGAUUAGCAAAUUUGACAAACCUGCAAGUGUUGGAUUUAAGCGGUAAUCAAAAUUUGACAACGCUAGGUAAGCCACUGAAUCUAAGAUAAGAAGCAAAUUAAAUGUAGAAUUAAUGUUCAUCAAACGCACGGAUCACAUACAAUUCCUUUAAAUAUAAUGUUUACAUUUUUUAUCUGCGCAUGUAGGAUUUGUAGAUUUGCCAAACUUGAAAAUAUUGGAUCUUGGUUAUUGUGGAUAACUACAAUUCAAGGUAUAUAACAAUUCACUUCUUCCAAUGACAAAAAUUGUUUUAGAUGUUAAUCAAGAUGAUAAUAUAUUUGCAUUUUUAAUUGCUUUAAACUAGAUCAAAUUUAAAUUAGAAGCACUGUUUUCUAUACAAAGUUUAGUACUUGACAUACUUUAUCACCAAUUUCCGACAUAAACCGCUCAUUUCUUUCACUCUCUCUUAAUUCUAAAUCUUUUUUUAUAAAAAAAUCAACAAUGAUAUUUAUCUUUAUUUCAAUAUUUAUAGUUUUGAAUGAAAUUUUUUUUUCUUAUGUCCAUUAAUUCUUGAUGCAAGAUUAGCUAAAUUCAAAAGCUUGGAAGCAUUGAAUUUGUGUAAUAGUAACAUAAAAAAUUCUCUAGAAACCCAUAUUAAACAUUUUACACUAUGUUUUGAUGUUGAAACAUGAUAAAUAAGAGCCCAAUAUUGUUUUCUAAUUGUUGUUUUGACAAAGUAAAAAUGCAAAUGCUAUUUUUAAAUUUAUUUUUAAAAUUUAAAAAUGUGUUCAGUAUCAUUUUAAAAAAUAAUCUAAAAAAUGAGAAAACAAAAAUAUGUUUGGUAAGAAUAUCUCAAAGAAUUAUUAUUGGAAUAAUUUCCAUAAACUUAAGAUUAAGCAAUGUAUAUUGAUUAUUUUAAUUUUAAGAAUAAAUUAGGUGAUCUUUCUAUUUUUUUGUUCAAAGAAAAAUGAUAAACCCUACAUAUUUGAUUUAGUUAAUAUAUAAAAACAUAAAUAUUAUAAUGUAUAUAAAAAGAAAAGAUUUUUGUGAAGGAAAAUGAUUCUUUGGGUACAACAACAACAACAACAACAACAACAACAAUAAUAAUCUCUAGGUGACAUAUGUUUUAACAAAUUUUAAGAAGAUGACACAUUUUUUAAAAAUAUUAGAGCGAGUGACAUUCUAUUAACUUUUGCCAUUAAUUUUAAUGAGAAUAGUAAAUUAAAUGACAUUUCUACCCCACAAAAUGAUGUUUCUGCCCAUACUCACUCAUUUUUUAAUUUUUUAAAUAGAAAAAUUAAACCUAAGUCUAAUUAACAGGUUUUUUUUGUUAAAUCAAAUUUUUUUAAAAAACAUUCUUGUUGAAUCAAACUGAUUUGUGCAUAUAAAGAAGCAAAAAUCUUAUGAAUUGUAAAGUAUUGUAUAAAUUCAAAAUUUUCGUCUCUUUGCUUUAUGAAAAAAAAAGUCUAUUUUUUCCAAUUCUACUCUCAACUGGUUAAAAUUAACAGUAAAAGUUAAUGGAAUGUCACCCACUCGAGUAUUUUCAAAACAUGUGUCAUCUUUUUGAAAUUUAUUAAAACAUGUGUCACCCAAGGAUAAUUAGACCUAAUGAUAAUAAUAAUAAUAAUGUUGAUAUUAUUAUUAUUAUUUCAAGAGGCGGUAAAGAGAAUUCUUCAUUUUGGAACUUAAUCUUGUAUUAGGAAAUAAGGAAAAUAAGAAAAAGUUGUUUCUCAUUUCUUUUGUUAAAAUGUGUAGAAUGAAUUUUAUAUUUUUUUUUUAAAUUUCAGAACAAUCUACCGAACAGGUAUCUAAUAUUUUCUAAAUUCAAAAAAUAAAAAACAGCUUAUAAAAACAAUGCCAACGCACCCAAUAUUUGCAUUACUGAUACACAAUUCCUACUUCCCAGUGACUUGUUGGUCGAAGUACUUCGACAAAAUUAAAUAUGAAGACCAGUUUUUUUUUUCCCGCUUGGGCAAAUACUUUUGUUUAAUGCAAUGAGAAGAAUAAUAAAGUUUAUGAAAACAACUAAUAUAUUAUGAGUUUCUCUUUACAUUAUCAAACAAAUUUAGAGAUUAGAAAACCAAUAUCCAACGUAAAAGACGAAGUCAACAAACUCUUCCACAGAAAAUCAUUAUUUUAAACAACGAGAAUUGCUGAAACACUUUUUGAAUGGAUUAUGAUGAGCAAGAAUUGCUGACUGCUUUUAUAUUAUUAUUAUUAUUAUUAUUUUAUUGUUAGAUUAAUUGAAACGCUUUGCAAUCAACAUCAUAUUAUAUGAGAAAUAAAUUCAUAUCAUUCUAUUAUUAUUUAUGUUGACCAAAAUACUUAGACAAUUUGAUUUCAUGUCUGUUUUAUAAGUCUUAUAUUGGGUUCAUGAUUGAAUGCACUAUAAUUAGUUUUCGUUUUAUGAAAUCUGAGCUUUUUAUUUUCACUUUCAGGAAUAUGUAAUUUGAAGAAUCUUCUUGAGUUGGAUUUAAGGUCAAAUAAUUUUGUGGUUCACCUUCCUCAGUGUCUCAACAACUUGACCCAUCUCAAAGUUCUUGAUAUUUCUUACAAUCAGUUAAGUGGAAAAUUUCCUUCUGCCUUGACCAACCUCACAUCACUUGAAUAUUUGGAUCUCUCUUUCAUCGAUUUCCAAGGAACAUUCUCAAUAAAUUCAUUGGCUAAUCAUUCAAGCUUGAGGUCUCUUACUCUCGUCACGAAAUGAUAUGUUGCAAGUGAAAACCCAAAAUUGGCUCCCCCAUAUCCUCUCAAGGUUCUCCAAUUAUCUCACUGCCACUUAAAUGUCAAUAGUAGUUUUCUUCUACACCAACACCACUUAAAAUUCCUUGAUCUCUCUCACAAUCAGUUGGUUGCAAUUUCCCAACUUGGUUGUUGCAAAACAACACAGGAUUAGAAAUUUUGAUUUUGUGGAAUAACUCAUUCUCGGGAAUUCUUCCGCGACUUCCAAUGCCAAAUACGACAAGCUUCGUCAUCUAGAUAUUUCACUAACAAUUUCUCUGGUAAGCUACCAGAGAAUUUGGGUAUUGUCUUUCAGAAAUUGAUAUAUUUGGAUAUGUCAAAAAAUAGUUUUGAAAGGUAAUAUUCCUUAUUCAAUCAGUGAGAUGAAAGAGCUAAUUACUUUGGAUUUAUCUGAAAAUAAUUUUUCAGGAGAAUUACCUCGGUCUAUAUUCUCUAGUUGCCUCUCCUUAGAAAUGUUGGACCUAUCAAAUAACAAUUUCUAUGGCCAACUUUUUCCCAAUUAUAUGAACUUGACUCAUUUGCGUUCCUUACUUUUGGACAACAAUCAUUUCAGUGGGAAGAUGACAGAUGGUUUGUUGAGCUCCACUUUGCUAGAGGUAUUAAAUGUAUCCAACAACAAGUUAUCCGGCGAUAUUCCCCACUGGAUUGGCAACUUCUCAAGCCUUUGGCUUCUUUUAAUGUCAGAAAAUUAUUUGCAAGGUAGUAUUCCGGUCCAGCUCGGCAAUCUUGAAAGUCUUGAGUUUAUAGACAUAUCCGAAAAUAGUUUGUUUGGGUCCAUGGUAUCUCUCUCCAAUCUUUCAUCAGUGGAGCACAUUUUUCUGCAUAACAAUGCAAUUAAUGGGUUAAUUCCAAUUGCAUUGCUUAGAAGCUCUACAUUAUUGACUCUCGAUUUGAGGGACAAUAAAUUUUGCGGUAGGAUUCCUCAUCAGAUCAAUGAGCUUUCGAAUUUGCAUGUUCUUCUUUUGAGAGGGAAUUAUCUACAAGGACGUAUUCCUAAUCAGUUGUGCCAAUUAAGAAAUUAGUAUCAGGAUCUUUCACAUAACAGACUUAAUGGGCCGAUACCUUCAUGCCUGGGUAACGUGUCAUUCUGGAGAGAAGUGAUUGAUGAUUAUCCAUUUGGAUACGGAUUUGCUGGGUCAAAUCGUGAUUUCACUUUUACUUACUACAAUUCCACUCUAGAUCUGCAGUCGCCAGAUGAACGACAUGGUGGACUAGAUCAACAAGUAGGUGUAGAAUUUGUGACAAGUAUAGAUAUGAAUUUUUCAUCGGGUAGCAAUCUCGUCGACAUGGCUGGACUGAUUUGUCGAGCAAUGAGUUCAGUGGAGAAAUUCCAUGGGAAUUGGGCAUCUUCAACAUAUUCGUGCACUUAAUCUGUCGAAUAAUUUACUAUCAGGUGCUAUACCAGAGACCUUCUCCAAUCUGAAAAUGAUAGAGAGCCUGGACCUUUCCCGCAACAAAUUAAGUGGCGAAUUCCUCCUCAACUAACUGAGCUCAACUUUUUGUCAAAUUUUAACGUGUCAUACAACAAUUUGUCCGGCCCAAUCCAGGACAAAGACCAGUUUGCACCUUUGAUGACAGCAGUUAUAAAGGUAAUUCGGCUCUUUGUGGCUCAAUGAUAAAGAGGAAAUGCAGCAGUGCGUUGCACCACCAGCGACACCUACAGGGGAGGAGAAGAUGAAGGCGAUUCUGUGACUGAUAUGGUGGCAUUAAGAUGGAGUUUUGGAGCAUCCUAUGUGUCAGUGAUUUUGGGUUUAUUUGCAGCACUUUGGAUAAACUCGUACUGGCGCAGACUGUGGUUCUAUUUCAUGAUAGAUGUAUUGACAUGCUACUAUUGGCUUUUCAAAUAUGUUUUCCAUCGGUGACUGUGCUUACUAGCACAUACGGUUCUGCCGUGUAUAACUUAUCGUGCUGUGUUAUGUCUCCGUUGGCUUUUCUCCAAACAGCUAUGCAUCCAUUAGGAUUAGACUUACGGCUUCUUCUUCAGUUUCUGUUGAUUGCAAAUUUAAAUUGAAUAAGGAAUUUUGCCAACUACUAUGUUAGUUGUUAAUAUCAUCAGUGCAGCAACUUCAGCUGCAAAUGUAAGCUAUCUAUCAUGGGUCAAUUCAACUCCAACCAAAUACCAUAUAAUUUGAGCAUAACUACAAAUCUCAGUCAAAAACAUUAAAAUCCAUUAUAGAACAACAUCACAGAUCUCUGAUGAGGAAAUCGCCCAAUUAAUUUAUCAUUUAUUGAUCAAAACAAAUCUCUUAACAAAACAAGAAACCGAUUUGUACAAAUAUUAUGUUAGAACAUCCAGAGGGAUAUCUAAAAUGACACAAUCAAGUAUUGAUUAAAAUUGCUCCAAACUUUAACCAUUUCACAACGGUAACAUUCACUAACAAAUUUUCGAAUAAAAUUGGGAGAAACAGACGGCACCUUUGCAUUUUAUUGCUUUGCUCUCUCUUUUAACGAACAGAAGCACAGAUGGAUUGAUGA